rnacentral:rRNA from 1 species
UACGAAGGGGGCUAGCGUUGCUCGGAAUCACUGGGCGUAAAGGGCGCGUAGGCGGAUCUUUAAGUCAGGGGUGAAAGCCUGAGGCUCAACCUUUGAAAGCCGAUGGAUACUGCAGGGCUAGGGUCCGGAAGAGGCGAGUGGAAUUCCUGGUGUAGCGGUGGAAUGCGCAGAUAUCAGGAGGAACACCAAUAGCGAAGGCAGCUCGCUGGGACGGUACUGACGCUAAGGCGCGAAAGCGUGGGGAGCGAACAGG